rnacentral:rRNA from 1 species
AUAUAUAUAUAUAUCACAUUGAAUGCACCUGUUCUUGUCCAGUCACUGAUGUUAAGCAAUGUCAUGCCUAGUUAGUAUUUAGAUGGUCAACUGCUUGGAAAACCUAGGUACUGUAAGCA